GGGGAAUAUUGGACAAUGGGCGAAAGCCUGAUCCAGCCAUGCCGCGUGAGUGAUGAAGGCCCUAGGGUUGUAAAGCUCUUUCAGUGAGGAAGAUAAUGACGGUACCCACAGAAGAAGCCCCGGCUAACUUCGUGCCAGCAGCCGCGGUAAUACGAAGGGGGCUAGCGUUGUUCGGAAUUACUGGGCGUAAAGCGCACGUAGGCGGAUCUUUAAGUCAGGGGUGAAAUCCCGGGGCUCAACCCCGGAACAGCCUCUGAUACUGGGGAUCUCGAGUCCGAGAGAGGUGAGUGGAAUUCCGAGUGUAGAGGUGAAAUUCGUAGAUAUUCGGAGGAACACCAGUGGCGAAGGCGGCUCACUGGCUCGGUACUGACGCUGAGGUGCGAAAGCGUGGGGAGCAAAC
rnacentral:rRNA from 1 species